UACGUAGGUGACCAGCGUUGUCCGGAAUCAUUGGGCGUAAAGCGCGCGUAGGUGGCUUCAUAAGUCCGUUGUGAAAGUCAAAGGCUCAACCUUUGAAAGCCGAUGGAUACUGUGGAGCUAGAGUACGGAAGAGGCGAGUGGAAUUCCUGGUGUAGCGGUGGAAUGCGCAGAUAUCAGGAGGAACACCAAUAGCGAAGGCAGCUCGCUGGGACGGUACUGACGCUGAGCACGACGAACGUGGGGAGCAACAGG
rnacentral:rRNA from 1 species